rnacentral:rRNA from 1 species
UACGGGGGGUGCGAGCGUUGUCCGGAUUCACUGGGCGUAAAGGGCGCGUAGGCGGCUGGCUCAGUCGGGCCUGUAAGUGCGGGGCUCAACCCCGUGAUGGGCUCGGGACGGGCUGGCUGGGGCGCGGUCGAGGGAGACGGAAUGCCGGAUGUAGUGGUGAAAUGCGUAGAGAUCCGGCGGAACACCGGUGGUGAAGACGGUCUCCUGGGCCGAGGGCCGACGCUGAGGCGCGAGAGCGUGGGGAGCGAACCGG